UACGAAAGGGGCUAGCGUUGCUCGGAAUCACUGGGCGUAAAGCGCACGUAGGCGGAUUCCUAAGUCGGGGGUGAAAUCCUGGAGCUCAACUCCAGAACUGCCUUCGAUACUGGGAAUCUUGAGUCCGGAAGAGGUGAGUGGAACUGCGAGUGUAGAGGUGAAAUUCGUAGAUAUUCGCAAGAACACCAGUGGCGAAGGCGGCUCACUGGUCCGGUACUGGACGCUGAGGUGCGAAAGCGUGGGGAGCAAACAGG
rnacentral:rRNA from 1 species